UACGGAGGGUGCAAGCGUUAUCCGGAUUCACUGGGUUUAAAGGGUGCGUAGGUGGGUCUGUAGGUCAGUGGUGAAAUCUCCGGGCUUAACCCGGAAACUGCCAUUGAUACUAUAGGUCUUGAAUAUCCUGGAGGUGAGCGGAAUAUGUCAUGUAGCGGUGAAAUGCUUAGAUAUGACAUAGAACACCAAUUGCGAAGGCAGCUCACUACGGGAUUAUUGACACUGAGGCACGAAAGCGUGGGGAUCAAACAGG
rnacentral:rRNA from 1 species